UACGGAGGGAGCGAGCGUUGUCCGAAGUUACUGGGCGUAAAGCGCGUGUAGGCGGUUGCCCAAGUCGGGUGUGAAAGCCUUGAGCUCAACUCAAGAAAUGCACUCGGUACUGGGUGACUAGAGGACCGGAGAGGAUAGUGGAAUUCCCAGUGUAGUGGUGAAAUACGUAGAGAUCCGGAGGAACCCCAGAGGCGAAGGCGGCGUUCUGGCUCGCAACUGACGCUCAGACACGACAGCAUGGGGAGCGAACGGG
rnacentral:rRNA from 1 species